GCUGGGUGUGGUGGCACACACCUGUAAUCCCAGUUACUUGGGAGGCUGAGGCAGGAGAAUUGCUUGAACCUGGGAAUCGGGGGUUGCAGUGAGCCAAGAUCGUGCCACUGCACUCCAGCCUGGGUGACAGAGUGAGACUCUGCCUCAA
rnacentral:sRNA from 1 species